GACGAACGCUGGCGGCGUGCUUAACACAUGCAAGUCGAACGGUGAACCUCUUCGGAGGGGAUCAGUGGCGAACGGGUGAGUAACACGUGGGCAACCUGCCCCCGGCUCUGGGAUAACUCCAAGAAAUUGGGGCUAAUACCGGAUGUUCACCGCUUCCCGCAUGGGUGGUGGUGGAAAGGGUUUCCGACUGGGGAUGGGCCCACGGCCUAUCAGCUUGUUGGUGGGGUAGUGGCCUACCAAGGCGACGACGGGUAGCCGGCCUGAGAGGGUGACCGGCGACACUGCAACUGAGACACGGUCCAGACUCCUACGGGAGGCAGCGGUGGGGAAUAUUGGCCGAUGGGCGCAAGGCGGAUCGAGCCAUACCGCGUGGGUGAAGAAGGCCUUCGGGUUGUAAGGCGCUUUUGUUGGGAAAGAAAAGCAGCAGGUUAAUACCCCGCUGUUCUGACGGUACCCAAAGAAUAAGAACCGGCUAACUUCGUG
rnacentral:rRNA from 1 species